UUUAUAUAUUUUAAAUCUAGUAAUGAGUGUUUAUUUUUGUUCAUCAGUGAAUGAAAACGGUUUUUAUCCUAAUAUGAAUUCAGCUUAUGAUCCUGAAUUUAUAUUGUUAAAGCAGUUAAUGAUAUUAUUUCAGAGUUAUAACUGACUUAGCAAAGUCACGUUAUUUAUUUAAGCAAGAUGAAAUUAGAUUUUAUCUUUAUUCAAGUCGUGAUUUAUUUCUGACUCGUGAGUUAAUUAAAUCUGCGGAUUUAAUUUAAAUAUUAGAACAACAAACGAAUUAAAUCUACGGAUUUAAUUUAGAUUCAUUUUAUAAUUUAUCGAUUUAAGUGAGAAAUCACAUGUCGAAAUACGAGAUUUAUUUAAAUAAACAGUAUCAAGCAUAUACGAGCACACGAUCCAUCUUACAGUUACAGAAUCACCGAGACAGAGAAAAUACAUCAAUAAUUCUCCUCUACAUUUUUUUUCCUUUCUUUUUCUUCUCUUUUUCUUUCCAUUAAUUUUGUUCCCCACUCCAUCAACUCCACUACCCUAUGCUCCCCACCAUCUCCACUACCUUUGCUCCCCAUCAACUCCAACACUUCACCCAUUCCUUCCAUUUCGCACCAGCAAUCACAAAGAGAAGGAAGACUUGGCUUAACUAUUUUGCCAAGAUUUCAAGCUGCUCCAGUCCAGUAGUACCCCAACACUCGAAGCUAGAGUUUAUUGGGUGAAAAACCGUGCAUGAGGUCGAGCGCAAGAAUAAGAGCUCGUCAAGGAGUCACUAAUCUGUAGCAAAGCUUUGCUAUCAGGUUGAGCAGCUGCCGAUGGUGAUGAAGUGACGAGCGGGACUCUUUUGUCUUAUUAUGUAUUAAUGAACUCUAGGGUUACAUGUCUUCAUACAUGUAAUCAGAACCUUAUUCCGCUGCGUACUCAGAAGUUUUAUGUUAUUUUGGAUAAGUCGGAGUUAUCCGAACUUGUUAGUUAUUUGAGUCUAUACGACAAAAACUCUGUUAUAUUAUAGAUAUCUAUGUUGUUAACAAUGAUGAAAUACGAUCCUUUCUUGUUUGAUUA